CCGAGGAUGGUGGAAAGGUAGACACGUUGGUCUUAGAAACCAAAAUUUGAAGGUUCAAGUCCUUUUCCUCGGA
rnacentral:tRNA from 1 species